CCUACGGGGGGCAGCAGUAGGGAAUCUUUCACAAUGGGCGAAAGCCUGAUGGAGCAACGCCGCGUGCAGGAUGAAGGCCUUCGGGUUGUAAACUGCUUUUAUAAGCGAGAAAUAUGAUGGUAACUUAUGAAUAAGGAUCGGCUAACUACGUGCCAGCAGCCGCGGUCAUACGUAGGAUCCGGGCAUUAUCCGGAGUGACUGGGUGUAAAGAGUUGCGUAGGUGGCAUAAUAAGUAGCUAGUGAAAUCUGGUGGCUCAACCAUUCAGACUAUUAGCUAAACUGUUAAGCUCGAGACCGUUAGGGGUAACUGGAAUUUCUAGUGUAGGAGUGAAAUCCGUAGAUAUUAGAAGGAACACCAAUAGCGUAGGCAGGUUGCUGGGACGGUUCUGACACUAAGGCACGAAAGCGUAGGGAGCAAACGGGAUUAGAUACCCGUGUAGUC
rnacentral:rRNA from 1 species